rnacentral:lncRNA from 1 species
AUCCGCCCUGGCCCGCGGCCCGCCCGCUCCGGAGGGUUCGGAGCGGGGGAGGCCGACUGCGCUCCGCUCGCGGCGCCGCGCCGCCCAUCAUUUGUGAAGUGAUCCUGCUCGCCGGACGGGUGGUGGCAUAAUAUCUUCGGGGCGGGGAGGCGCAUCAGGGGGGUUGGCAGGAGACUGUCAACCCUCCCGCGGUGUAGCUGUUCACAGCCCGCCCAGAUUCGGGGCGGAGGUUUGGGGUCGUUCAGGCCCCGGCCUGCGACCUCCGGGAGGAAGGGGGCUCAUAGUUCUUUAGGGUCCGCGGAGCCCGCCAUCCUCCCGGCCGCGGGGCGUGGCCCGGGCCGGGCUGGGCACAGGGCGCCCCUGGGGCCCGUCGGCCGCACUGCCCCGAGCCCGGCCCGUGGCGCAGCAGCCUCGCCCCGCACGUGCCGCAGCUCAGGCGCGGCGCCGACCAGGCCAGCUGGCCGCGGGCAGCAGCCGCGGGAGACUCCGGAAGCCCGGCCGGAGCAGGAUGGAGCGCCGACGGGACCCAGGCUGAAAGGGAAGCUCUGCAGGUUGUCCUGAUGUGCGGACGCGAUGGAGGCGACUCUGAGCAGCUCCAGAGAGCAAGCCUUGGCCUCUGACUGUCAAACCUCCGCGGAAAUGGUCUCUAAAGGAAGAAGUCUCCCGACUCUUUACAAAAAUGUAAAACCACCUAGGAAAGGAAGCAUCCACGUGGAUGGGGAGAAACAAUUGAAAAUAAUAGCUACACAGCAUUCAAGGGCACUUCUACUUUUGGACCUCAGAGCAAAUGAGAAGGCGAAAGUUCGGACUUGAAGACCCGUCUGUACAGUUAGGCGAGCAAGGACCAUACUUGGAGAACCAUGCUAUAGAACAUCAGAGAGAGAAGACAGUGGGAUCAUUUGGGGAUGGAAGAGAGAGAGUUUUCUAAAGGAAGAAUUGCUGGAAAGAACAACAACAACAAAGGGCCCACUCUACCACUCUACUCACUGGUUAAGACUUCAUCGCCUCCUGAUGCAGAAGCAACAGAACAGAUUUUUCUUCAGUAUUUGAAGCUGAAGAGCUUUUGUCAAGAUAUGCAACCUCUUUGAACUUCUGUUUCCUGUUCUGUAUAAAUAGGAGUAAUAAUAAAGCCAACUUCUGUGCAUUGCUCUUAGGAGUUAAUGAAAUAACAUACCAAUGGUAUAGCAGCAUUCACCUCAGUGUUUCGUCCUCAAAUAAAUGAUUAUUG